rnacentral:tRNA from 1 species
CACCCGCUGGUCGGGGACGGGCCCGGCGGUCGGCGGCCGCCGGGGCACCGCGGUCCGGGACCGGCUCGGCGGUCGGGUGCCGGCGCGCCUGA